AAAGUCAGGAAAUUAAAAGAAAAAAUCACUGAAAACACGUCAUUGUUUUGCCAAUUGGAAUAUUUGAUGAACAACACGCCCAUUGAUGUCACUGAGAAGAAUAUACAGUUAAUUGUACAAUAUCUCUCCUUACUUCAUCCAAAAUAUAAGAUAAUAGAUGAUCUGAAAUCAAUUAAAUUAACUAGAUACAUGCCUUUGGCGGCGCUUGCACCAGUAACAAUAUAUAGAGAGGUGUGUUGUUGUGAGGAAAGAUCAGCAGUUUGCCAUCUUUUUGUGAAACUUUGUCGGGAAUCAGGCUUUGACAUAUGUAUGAAAAGAAAGGAGGAAAUCAUUUUU
rnacentral:lncRNA from 1 species